GCUGAUAAAUCGGGGUUGAAGACAAUCCGACCCGUAUCUUGGUAGGGCAAACCGGUUCUAUUGCAGCCAUGGCGUGUUGUCGUCUUCUCUUUGCCCCAUUUUACGCAGAUCUGAGCCUCAACUUCCAACUAGUACAUCUGGACUUCUCGGGACUCUAACCAAGAUCUGGACUUUUGGGGACUCGAACCCAGCAUCUCUCGUUUGGUGAAACCCAAACGAGAAAAGGAUUUUCAAGCAAAGCAGCAAAAAGACAUAGAAAAGGAGGGUUAUUUUCUUGACUACAGGCUUCCAUUAGAUUCUCUUAUUAUAGAGUGUUUUACUACACAAAAAUGGAAGUUCAGCCCAGUAAGAAGAAUGAUGCCACCAGAGAGAAAAGGGAAUUCUUGGAGGGUGGUUGCCCCCUCUGUUUGGCCUAUGAUUUCUUCAUCAAUAAAAAACCAACAACCCUCUUCAGAAAUACUAGUACAUGUUUUCUGACCUCUCUGAGCUUAAGCCAGAUAUAUAUCCUCUAAUCUUGGCAUUUGUUUGUCAAAAAUUGCUUGAAAUUGUCCAAACGCCUACUACGGAAAAGUUCCAAUCUCUCCAAAGAGGCAGUGAUGAUAUUGCUAAUCUGGGCUGAUAAAUCGGGGUUGAAGACAAUCCGACCCGUAUCUUGGUAGGGCAAACCGGUUCUAUUGCAGCCAUGGUGUGUUGUCGUCUUCUCUUUGCCCCAUUUUACGCAGAUCUGAGCCUCAACUUCCAACUAGUACAUCUGGACUUCUAGGGACUCUAACCAAGAUCUGGACUUUUGGGGACUCGAACCCAGCAUCUCUCGAUUGGUGAAACCCAUUUGGGUUAUUCAGUUUCUCUUGAAACCUUGUUGCUAUUCACAUCAAACUUCUAGCUAAAAGAAUGAGGCAAUUGGGGAAAAAAGGGAUCAUUUAGGGUGGUUGACCAUCUCCGGCAUGCCUAUGAUUUCUAGUUUAAUUUAGUUCUGAAAAACAACUGUUGAUUAUGUGUGUGUUGGGGAGUGUGUUUUAGUUCUAAAAAACAACUGUUGUUGAUUAUGUGUGUGUGUGUUUAACCAAACGCCAUACAUUGAGGACUAUUUUGAUUAUUUUCUCUGUGUUUUCUGUUAUUGUUAUGCUAUGUUCCUCACAGGCUACAAUCUAUGGCAAAGCAACAGCAGAAACAUUGAAAAGGAAAAUGAUGGAGCUGUGAUGAUUGAUUGUUAUUGAUCAUAUGGAACCUGGCGUUGUAGUUUCAGGCCUGUAUCUUGGCGGGGCGGCCCGUAUUAUAGGGUUUGCAGCCAUGGCAGUGUCAAAGAACUCAUUGCCUGAGAUCAAUUACUUAUCGGAGCCUCAAGUCUUUCUGAAAUGGCUGAAUACAUCGACGGCCCCUCAAACUUGCCGGAAAUUUUCAUUUCGACACCUGACUAAGGGUGGUUCAUAGACCACCUGAACUCGUGCCAAACUGUGUCUAUUAAACACACGCUGCUGAAGUUGUCCAAACAGGCUAUUCUUGAAAAGUUAACAUUUUCCAGAAGAGGCAGGAAUGAUAUUGCUAAUCUAGGCUGAGGCAUGGAGAAAAUCCACCCCGUAUCUUGGCAUGGCAAAUCCCGAUGGCUUGUGAUUCGGGUUUCUCUUUCACAUGCAACCAGUUCUUUUGCAUGGCAUUGUAGCCUUCUCUUUGCCCCAUUUCAAGCAGAUCUGAGUCUCAACUUCCAAUUGCUCUUUAGAUAGGGUCCUAAAAGCGGCUAUUUAUGCACUUCCCCUAUUUUACAGCGUUGGGAAAAUCCGACCUGUAUCUCGGGCAACCCGGUUUGACAUCAUUUGCUAGUCGGUGUCUGCAGUCAUGGCAUGUGUCGCUUUCUCUUUGCGUAGUUCAUAGAACACCCAUUUGAUGUCUUGACUCUUAAAUGGAUGGCCGUUCUCUGGAACCGGAACACACUGUUGGGUUCUUCAGUUUUUCCUUGAACACCCCAUUUCAGAUGCUGCUCUCCUUGAAAUUUCUAGCUAAAAAAUGAGGCCAUUGGAGAAAAUGGGGAUUUUCAGGGUGGUUGACCAUCUCCAACAUGCCAGUGAAUUCUUUUUUGCUCUAAUCAACAGCCCAUUUUGCAUAUGUAUGAUUGUGUGUAUAUAUGUGUAUUGUAUGUCUGUUUCUUUCUUUCUGUCUGUCUAUCUAUCUACGACUACUCUGCCUCUGCAUGUCUGCUUUUUCAGGCGAAGCAUAGAGGAGGGAGGAUUAGUUUCUUAAGUGCAGACUUAAGGGGUCUCUUCGGUUAAAUUCUCUCUUAUAAAUCAGAGAGUGUUUUACUUCACAAAAUGGAGGUUCACCCCAGAACGAAGAAUGAGGCCAAUAGAUAGAAAAAGGGAAUUCUUCCGAGGGUGGUUGCCCCCUCUGCUUGGCCUAUGAUUUCUCCAUUAACCAAACCAACAACCCUCUUCAAAAGUACAACUACUACUGUUUCUGAUUUCUCUGAGGUAAAACCAAACAUCCUCUGAUCUUAGUGUUUGUUUAUCAAAGAUUGUUUGAAUUGUCCAGAUGUGUUUACUGUGGAAAAGUUUCAACUUUUCAAAAGAGGCAGUGAUGAUAUUGCUAAUACUGGGCUGAUAUUCGGGGGCAUGGAGACAGUCUGACCCAUACCUUGGCAUGGUAAACCCGGAUGGUUUGAGAUUGAGGCCUUCUCUGUCGCAUGCAACUGGUUCUUUUGCAGCCAUGGCAUUGUCGCCUUCUCUUUACCCCAUUCUUUUGCAGGGUAACCCGGAGAGGGAGCAUCAAUGGCUGUUUUUGAUAAACUCAAUGCCCGAGUAAAUUGAAAUCUGAGCCUCGUUAAGUACAUGAUGCACAUUAUAUUGUCUGUAUAUUACAUAUAUAGAUACACAUGCAAACAUAUCAUGAGAAAAUGUCCAAAAUGGUCCCUUAUCUAGGCAGUGAUGAUCCUGAGUUAUUAAUUGAGCAUUGAGAGACCCGACCCGUAUCUUGGCAGGGCGAUGACCCUGAUACUUGUGAUUUGUAAAAAAUUGCAUGCAACCGGGGGAUAUUUGCAGCCAUGGCGUGUCAGGACUUUCUUUGUCUGGCAUAAAUACAGAUCUGAGCCUCAGUUGUCACUUAUAUCUUACUUUGGGUGUAUUUGAUAUGGAGGAAAUUGUUUCAGUGAAGCAGCCCUCGAAGUGGCUACCAUGGUGUCAUUUCUACAAAUAAGACCUUUCACAUGAAUAAUUUUGGGAAUUUGAAGCGGAAGGCGAUACGGAAAUGGCAAAAAUCUCAUUAGUUUAAGUCUGAGGCUGCUGGAUUUAGAGAGUUUUGGUGAGUUAUUUGAGUGGUUGCCCCUCUCUGUUAUUCUUAUCAGCCAGUGAUCAGUCAAAUGUUCCCCAAUUUCCAACUAAUAUUUAGCAAAUUAAGUUCACUUAGGCAGUGAAGAUUUUCACUCUUUAUUCAUCAAUUGGUUGAGCUUUGCUAUAUCUUGGCGUGGCAGCUUUUGGUUGGUCUUGUGAGAUAUGUGAGCUAUUUUUGUUUCCGUGUCUCACAAAGGCUUCUCAUUAAGCUUGCAGCCAUGGCGGAGUUUAGCUUGUGCUUGAGAAGAGGAAAGUCUGAGCCUCCCAAGUAUAACAACAAACCAAGUGAAAUCCCACAAGUGUGGGGUUUGGGGGUUAGUGUGUAUGUAGACCUUACCCCCAUUUUGUAAAGGUAGAGAGGCAAGCAAAACUUGCUACUGAAUAUCAAAGCGAGGUUUCGAUCAUGUGACCUGUGGGUCGUGGGGCCACCACGCUUCUCAAGUAUCUGCAUGUUAAAGAAUGAGGCUUUUUGUGGUGGAAGUCGAGAAAGAUUGAGAUUUUCUAAGGGUGGUUAGUCUCUUUCUCUGAAGUUCAGUAUAGCCGAUGAAUUUUCCAGUACUUUUGUUACAAAGAUAAAGAUUAACAACCCUUUCAUCAGCUAAUACCAAUUAUGUUGUUGGUGAUGAUGACGACGACGAUAGCCAUGGUUAUGGCAAUAAGGGAAAAUACAUAUUCUGCUUCCUAAACUUGUCCAGGAAAACCUGAAUCCUUAACCCUGAACUUUGUGAAUGAGGCUACGAUGAUGUUCUCCCGGAAGCUUGAAAAUCAGAUUUUUGAGCUGAUUUGUUUCUUGGCUAGGCAAAGGCGGGAAUUUGUGAGGUAGUUUCUUAUGUGCUUCUCACAAAGGCGUCAGCUUUUGGCAGCCAUGGUGGAUUACCUCUUUGUUCUGAUAGAUUUUUAGGCAAAUCUGAGCCUCUUUUCUGUUUGGAGUUUAGUUCUACAAUGGGUGGUUCUUUCCUUUCGUUCUUUUUAUGACCAUGUUUUGUAAUAUUCGUAUGAGAUGAGUCUAAAAGGAGCAACAUGGUCAGUCAGUGUUGUGCAUAGCACGUGUGUUUGUUUUUCCUCCUCUUGAGCAAUUGUACAGAAGAGGCAGUGAUGAUGAUGUUUCACUUUUUGGGCUAGCUGAAUCAGGGACUUGGACAACUUGACCCGUAUCUUGGCCUGGCAAAUCACUGGAUGGUCGGCAUUUGAGGUUCUCUCUUUUGCAUGCAACCAGUGAUUUUGCAGCCAUGGCAUGGUUGACUUCUUUUUGCCUGAUAUAAAUGCAGUUCUGAGCCUCAAAUUCUGGGAAUCGAAAUGGGUACUCUUGUUCUUUGAAUCCAUUAGAAGUCAAGGAUACAGUGGUACGAGCCCAUAGACCAGACCCUGUUCAAAUUAAGGUUGUCAUUUUUUUGAUAAGGAAAAGUGAUGGACCUAUGGAUCGUGGUAUAAAUUAAGGUUGUCAUUGAGAUCCAUUAAUGUCUGCUUCUAAAUUUUAACUCAAGCUCCGGAUCAUAAGAAUGAGGUAUCAGAAAAGUUAAAACACCGAGGGUUUGGCGGAACACUUAUUAUAAGUUUAGCCCAGAAAGGAAGAGUGAGAUAUCAGAGAGAGAUGGGAUUUUCUGUGAAGGGUGGUUGUCCCUCUCUGCUAUGACCAUGAUUUCUCCAUUCAUGAAACCAACAACCCUUGAAGUAAAAAAAGAAACAAGCAAAUAGCCACUUCCUCUGCUUCUGCUGCGAUCACUACUGAUUUACACAGAUAGCCACCCUUAUGGCCUUGUAUUUAGAAGGCCACAACUGAUUUGCACAAAGAGGAUACGGAUAUAUGCUGUGAUGAUUGCUUCUUUCUGAGCUACCUACUCUCAGCAUUGAGAAAAUCCGACCUGUAUCUUGGCAGGGCAACCCAGUAUGGCAUCAUUUGCAAACUGGUGUCUGCAGUCAUGGCAUGUGUCGCUUUCUCUAGGCAUAUUCAUAUACAAAAAAAUCUGUGUCCCAAAAUCUACGGCAACCUUUGAUGGUCUUAAAUGGAUGGUCGUUUUCGGGAACUGGAAACCCACUUGGGUUCUUCAGUUUUUCUUUAACGCACCCCAUUUCAGAUGUGGUUCUCUAUCAAUUUCUUAGCUCAACGAAUGAGGCAGUUGGAGAAAAAUGGGGAUUUUUCAGGGUGGUUGACCAUCUCUGGCGUGCCUGUGAUUUCUAUUUUCUUUUAGCUCUAGCCAAGAGCUCUUUUUGUUUAUGCAUGUGUUUAUGUAACCAACCCCCAUAUAUUAAGGAUCAUUUUGAUCAUUUUCCCUCUGUUUUCUGUAACUGUUACAGUCUGUUCCUCAGAGGCUGCGGCUGCGUUUCCAUGGCAAAACAACAGCAAAAGCAUACAACUUGAAAUGGAAAAGGGAAAAUAAUGGGGCUUUGAUGAUAAUUUUACUAAGCAAAUGGCAUCGGGCAUUGUUGUUUCAGGCCCGUAUCUUGGUGGGGCAAUCCAUAUUAUAAGGUUUGCAGCCAUGGCAGUGUCAAAUAUCUCAGUGCCCGAGUUAAAUCACAGAUCUGAGCCUCAAAAUCUUUCAUCCAAAUCAUCUCUAAUGAGCAAAAUGAGAUGAGAGUUAGCCCAGAAAGAAGAAUGAGGCCAACAGAGAGAAAAGGAUUUCUUGGAGGGUGGUUGCGCUCUCUGUUUGGCCUAUGAUUUCUGCAUAAACCAAACCAACAACCCUCUUUUUUUUUUUUUUUUUUUCCAAUUGGUAUAUUUAGGGGUGUUCAUGGUUCGGUUUAGUUGACCAAAAGAGAAGGAAAAUAUCAGUUGCCAUUGAUGUGAUGCUGAUAGCAAUAGUAUUCUCUCCGUUCAUUUAUGUGUCCUGAAACUGUCCACAAAUUGCUAUGCCAAAGUUUUCAUCUUUCCGAAGAGGCAGUGAUGAGAUUGCUAAGCUGGUUAUUAUUCGAGAAAUGGAGAAAACCCGAAUCUUGGCGGGGCAAACUCGGAUCAUGCUACUGGUUCAUUUUGCAGCCAUGGCGUUGUCGUCUUCUCUUUCCCCCAUUUUACACAUAUCUGAGCCUCAAUUUCCAGUCUUUAAAUAGGGGUCCUGAAAACGGCUAUCUGUGCACUUCCCCCACUUUACUGUGCUGAGAAAAUCUGACUGGUAUCUUGGCAGGGCGACCUGGUAUGGCAUCAUUUGCACACCGGUAUCUGCAGCCAUGACGUGUGUUGCUGUCUCUUUGCUUGUUCAUAGAAAAGCAAAAUCUGGGCCCUAAAACUUUUAGGGCAACCAUUUGAUGAUCUUGAAUUGGACGGCCGUUCUCUGGAACUGAAAAACCAAAUUGGGUUCUUCAGUUUUUCAUGAACAUCCCAUUUCAGAUACAGUUCUCCGUCAAAAUUUUAGCUAAUAAAUGAGGCAAUCGGAGAAAAAAUUGGAUUUUUUCAGGGUGGUUGACCAUCUCCAGCAUGCCUAUGAUUUCUUUUUUGUGGCUAUAAUCAACAGCCCUUUUUGCAUAUCUAUGAUGUGUGUGUGUAUAUAUAUACAUGUAUUGUAUGUCUCUUCUGUCUCUCUAUCUAUCUGCGACUACUCUGCUCUUGUGUGGCUGCGUUCUUAAGGCAAAUCAGCACAAAGGUGUUUGCCCCUCUUUGCUAUGUCCCGUGAUUUCUCCAUUCAUAAAACCAACAGCCCUUUGAGAAAAAAAGAACAAGAAAAGGAAUAUGAUAAACCAUUCCAACGACACCCCUUGAGUAUUUACUUCUCUAAAAAGGGCUUUGCUCUUCUUUUCUCUGCUUCUGCUGAUUUACACAAAUAUCCACUUUUAUGGGUUUGUAUUUGAAAUCCACGACUGAUGCUGAACUUCAUAGAUCCAGAAAAUUUCACCUUAUGUCCCUUUUGAGAGCAGGUGUUUAAUAAUGAUCAUAUAUGUGCAAAUCUCCCUCACAGAUCACCUGAAGUGGGCUAUGAUGAUUGCUUCUUUCUGGGAGUCUUUUGCACAGCAGUGAGAAUUGGCCCGGAAGGAAGAAUGAGUCCAACAGAGAGAAAAUGGAUUUCUUCGAGGGUGGUUGCCCUCUCUGGCUGGCCUAUGAUUUCCCCCCCAACCAAACCAACAACCCUCUUCCUUUUUUUUCUUUUCCCAGUUGGUAUAUUUGUGAAAUUACAUAGCUUUUUAAGCAAAAGCGAGAAUUUUGAGGCUGUGAUGAUACUGUCUUCUCUUCUUUCAUGAGCUAAUCAAUUGGUCAAGAGAAGUAAAGGGACUCGUAUCUUGGCUGGGCAAACCGGAUGACAAGUGAUCUUUGUGUCAUGCAACCGGUGUUUGCAGUCAUGGCGAUGUCUUCAUUCUCUUGUCUUAUCAACAGAUCUGAGCCUCCAUUUUACUCUUAUAGCUUGUUUGGAUGGUUGUUACCCAGUGUAUUGUAUUGUUAUUUUAAAAGGGCGUCUUUGGUAUGAUGGAAAACAUCAGUAUUUGGUUACUGAUGUACAACUCUGAGAAGAAGAAAGUUCAGAAUCAGGUGAGAGCCGAGAAUUUUCCUAAAAAAAAGUUGGCCCGGAAAGAGAAAUGAGACUAACAGAGUGAAGGGAUUUUCUGUUAAGGGUGGUUGCCCUUCUCUGUUAUGACAAUGAUUUUCUGUAGCUACCAAACCAACAGGCCCUGUUCAUGAAAUGCAGAGAAACAUCAUAUGCUUUUUCAGUGUACAGCUUAAGCCAUGGACCUCUGUGUAUGUGUGUUUCUUUUUCCUCCUUCGGAAUAAUUUUACAAAAGAGGCAGUGAUGAUAAUAUUCUUUCACUUUCUGGGCUAAACAAAUUGGACAUGGUGGACAAUCCGUAUCUUGGCCUGGCAAUUCCCUUGUUGUGCAUGCAACUGGUAUUUUGCAGCCAUGGCGUAGUUGCGUUCACUUUGUCCGUGCAAAAUGCAGUAUCUGAGCCUCAAAUUUCUGAAAUGCAGUAUCUGAGCCUCAAUACCCUUGUUGUUUUUGUUGUUGCUUUGAGUCGAGGGUCUAUCGAAAACAGCCUCUCUACCGCCACCUGGUAGGGGUAAGGGUAAGGUGUGUGUACACACUACCCUCCCCAAACUCCACUUGUGGGAUUCCACUGGGUUUGUUGUUGUUGUUGGUAUAUUUGUGAAAUUUUCCCAUAAAAGAAGGCAAAUAUCUGUGCCAUUGAUGCAAUGCUGAUAGCAGCAGUAGUAGUACUCCCUCUGUUCCAAUUUAUGUGCCUUGAAACUGUCCAAAUUGCUAUGGAAAAGUUUCUGUCUUUCCAGAGAGGCAGUUUUGAUAUAUUUGCUAAUCUGGGCUGAAAUUCGGGGCAUGGAGAAAAACAGACUUGUAUCUUGGCGGGGCAAACCCGGAUCAGGCAACUGGUUUUGCAGCCAUGGCGUUGUCAUCUUCUCUUUGCCCCCAUUUUACACAUAUCUGAGCCUGAACUGCGAUGAGUCAUUGUGGAAUUUGCAGGAUUUGAACCAAAUGGGAAACCAUUUCAGUUUAGCUCAAAAAAAAAUGAGGCAACAGAGAAAAAUGAGGAUGUCUAAGGGUGGUUGACCAUCUCCGAUAUGCCAAUGAUUUCUCCUUUGCUCUAACCAACAGUCCUUUUAGAGUAUGUACGUCGGCGAAGUGCACAUAUAACGGUUUUAGGACUCCUAUUUGAAGAAAGACGAAAAGUGAUAGCAUCUUACAGUCUACAGAUUAAUGAGGCUCAGCCCAGUAUGAAGAACGAGGCCAACAGGGAGAAAAGGGAAUUCCUUGGAGGGUGGUUGCCCCCUGGUUUGGCCUAUGAUUUCUCCAUCAACCAAACCAACAACCCUCUGCAAAUGUGAUGCUGAUAACAGUAGUACUAUUCAAUGUUCUGAUAUUUCUGAGCUAGCUUAGACCAAAUGUUUUUGGUCCAAAACAUCCACAGAUCUGAAAUUUCCACUUGUUUUUUUUGAAAUUCUCCAAACAGGCUCUUAUUGAAAAGUUCCCGUUUUUGGAAAGAGGCAGUGAUGAUAUUGAUUGUCUGGUCCGAUAUUCGGCGCAUAUUGAUAAUACAACCUUGGGCUGUUUUAUGAACCAAACAGCAAGAGAUCAAUGUAAGGACAGGGAGAAUUUAUGCUGUGAUUGUAAUGCCGUUUUCUUUUUUGAGCAAUUUGGGUUAGGCGUUGAGAUGAUAACAGCCAUAUCUUGGCGGGGUAACGUGGGAAGGUUGCAGCAAUGGCGGUUUCUGAUUAAACCCACUACCUGAUUCAAUUGAAAUCUGAGCCUCUUAUGUACAUGAUGCUCAUGUAUAUUGUCUGUAUACUACAUACCUAUAUACAUAUAUGUGUAUAUAUAUAUACAUAUACAUACAUACAUACAUAUAUACAUAUACAUACAUACAUAUAUGUGUAUAUACAUAUAUAUAUAUUUACAUAUCAUGAGAAAAUGUCCAAAAUGGUCCCUUAUCGAGGCAGUGAUGAUCUUUCAAUCUAUCCUUCUGAGCUAGUAAUUGGGCAUCGAGAGUAACCGGCAUGUAGCUUGGCUGGGCAAUGACCCAGAUGCAUGUAUUUUCUUACAUGCAACUGGGGGUAUUGCAGCCAUGGCGUGGCUGGACUUUCUUUGCGUGAACAUGAAUAAGAUCUGAGCCUCAAUUGUCCCUUAUAUUUGACUCUGGCUGUAUUUGACAUGGAGGAAACUGUUUCAGCAAAUAGAUGAAGCAAAAGAUGAAACAAAAAUGGCAAAAGUUUCAUUAAUUUAUGUCUGAGGCUGCUGGAUUGAGAGAGUUGCGGAGAGUUUUGUGAGUGGUUGCCCCUCUGUCAUUCUUAGCAGCCAAUGAUCCACUCAAAAUUUCCCAAUUUCAAACCACUCUUUAGCAAAAUAAGUUCACUUAGGCAGUGAAGAUUUUCAUUCUUUACUCAUCAGAUGGUUGAGCUGAGCUUUGCUAUAUCUUGGGGGGGCAUCUCUUUGGUGGUCUUGUGGAUAUUGAAGCUAUUUUUUGUUUCUGUGUCUUGCAAAGGCUUGUUAAGCUGGCAGCCACGGCGGGGUUUAGCUUAUGUCUGAGAAAAGGUCAAUCUGAGCCUCCCAAAUAUCUUUUUGUGUUCAAAGAACGGGGAUUUUUAUGGAACUCGGAGGAAGGUUGAGAUUUUUUAAGGGUGGGUACUCUGUUUCUCUGAAGUUCAAUUUAGCUAAUGAAUUUUCCUGUAGUUUUGUUAUAAAGAGAAAGUUUAACAGUCCUUCAAGAGAAAAUACAUAUUUUGCCCCGCUAAACUUGUCCGGGAAAACUCAGAAUCCUAAACCCUAAACUUUGUGAAUGAGGCUGUGAUGAUAUUCUCCAGGAAGCUUUAAGACCAGAUUGGCUGAGCAAAGGCAUGGGAAUUUCUGAGGUUGGUUCUUUAUGUGCUCUCUCAGAAAGGCAUCUGCCUUUUUCAGCCAUGGUGGAUUAGCCCUUUUUUCUGAUAGAUCUUUAUGCAAAUCUGAGCUUUUUUCUUUCAUUCUUUGUACGUUCAUGUUCUUUCUUCUGCAUAAUAUCAGGAAGAAUCCUCAUUUCAAAAGAUAUGAAACAAGUCGAAAGAGAAAGGAAGUGAAUAUUAAGGAUUCAUACUGUCUUUAACCAGUUUGAUAUUGAAGCUAGUUGUUGCUGCAGUUAUCUACGCUAUAUUCAAACUUUCAUGCCUUUGUUUCAAUCUUGAAUACUUGAAGUUUCAGAGGCAGUGAAGAUUAUAUACAAUUGAAAAUGAAAAGUGAAGAAGAUUAGAGUUGAUUCUUGGCCUGGCUUGGUGAGUCCAAUCGGAAGGUCUUUCUUAUAAGGCAACCGUAGAUUGUGCAGCCAUGGCAGUGUUAGCUCUGUUCUUUUUUCCUUUUCUUUUUUUGAUUAAAUAGGCGAAAAUCUGAGCCUCAUUCUUAAUGUAGUUUAUUUACAAUUUUUUUACUAGUCUUUCUGGAAAUAGAUUUAGAUUACCUUCAUUGUGGAACCACGGAAAUCAACAGCUCCGGCUUCCAACUCUAAAUCCUAAAGGGAAAUGGAGUUUCUGCGUUGAGUACAAGCAUUUGUUUUAUUGCCAGUUCUAGUGGCUUUCAUUGAUCUGGAUGAGGAUCUUGAGUUUUCUCCUUCGGACUUAAAAUUCGGUCUUGAUUGGGUUGAUGGUAAUUGGAUCUGCCCGCAUGAAAAGAUGGAAUGGCAGUUUAUAGGCAUCCAGAAGGAAAACCAGCUUAUACUGCAUCCUGAUGGGAGUCGCACGUCAUGUCGCAUUUGCCUCAGCUUGACUACUUGCAUGAGGCCUCGAAGAUGCAAUUCUCUGAUUCUUAGCUACUGAAGUUCAGAGCUAUUGCUUUCUUUUUGAAUCUUAUUUGCUAUCAAUUGCACCAUGAUCUUUCUUUUAAUCACCCAAUAGUGUUGAUUAACAACAACAACAACAACGACCCAGUAUAAUCCCACAAGUGAGGUCUGGGGAGGGUAAUAUGUACGCAGACCUUACCCCUACCCCGAAGGGCAGAGAGGCUGUUUCCAGGAGACAUAGUGUUGAUUAACAUGAAUGAUAUAUCUGUUGACAUAUCCACUGGGUGAUGAUCAUCAAAUCAAUCAUGUCAUUUGAAUUAGUUGUAAUAGGAGUGUAUUAUACAGCAAAUUUUAUUUGCAUUUGCAUCUGCGUCGACUGAUAAAUUGUAUGAAAAUUUUUUGAAGCUCAAAACUCUAUUAGUUCUCAUGAUUUCAU